rnacentral:rRNA from 1 species
AAUAUUGGACAAUGGGCGACAGCCUGAUCCAGCCAUGCCGCGUGUGUGAAGAAGGUCUUAGGAAUGUAAAGCACUUUUUGUAGGGAGGAAGGGCAGUAAGUUAAUACCUUGCUGUCUUGACGUUACCGCCAGAAUAAGCACCUGCUAACUUCCUGCCAGCACCCGCGGUAAUACGAGGGGUGCAAGCGUUAAUCGGAAUUAAUGGGCGUAAAGCGGGCGUAGGGGGUUCGUUAAGUUGGAAGUGAAAGCCCCGGGCUUAACCUGGGAAUUGCUUUCAAAACUGACGAGCUAGAGUACGGUAGAGGGUAGUGGAAUUUCCUGUGUAGCGGUGAAAUGCGUAGAUAUAGGAAGGAACAUCAGUGGCGAAGGCGACUACCUGGACUGAUACUGACACUGAGGUGCGAAAGCGUGGGGAGCAAACAG